AGACGACUCUCGGCAACGGAUAUCUCGGCUCUCGCAUCGAUGAAGAACGUAGCGAAAUGCGAUACUUGGUGUGAAUUGCAGAAUCCCGUGAACCAUCGAGUCUUUGAACGCAAGUUGCGCCCGAGGCCACUCGGCCGAGGGCACGCCUGCCUGGGCGUCACGCCACCCAUCGCCCCCACCCCCGCGGCAUUCCCAGGCCCGGGGCGGGGAGCGGAGAAUGGCCGUCCGUGCCCGAGCCCUCGGCGCGCGGUCGGCGGAAAAAGGAGGACACCGUGCGGCGCGACACGGCGUGUGGGGGUUGAGAGGCGACCCGUCGCCGAUCGUACGUCGCGCCCGCAUUCCGCCGCGCGGAUCCGCCCGCGGGACCAGACCCGCCCGCAGCCGCGGGCGCUCGGACCGCGACCCCAGGUCAGGCGUGGCCACCCGCUGAAUUUAAGCAUAUCAAUAAGCGGAGGAGAAGAAACUUACGAGGAUUCCCCUAGUAACGGCGAGCGAACCGGGAGCAGCCC
rnacentral:rRNA from 1 species